CUCCCGCGGCGCGAGCGAGAGAACGCAACAAAACAAAACAAACUCGUGCCGGCUUCCUGUUGUGCAACCACUUUCUGAGCCGGGUGUUGGAAGGAGGGUGGACUUUGGAAUCAGAAAACCUGGAAAUCUCAACUCCACUACUUACUCCAAAGACGAGAGGUUGUACCCUGGCCCAUUGAGGACUUCAAUCCUGCUACCUGAGGCUUUGUAAAGAGCAGGUCUCCAGCAGAAGGUGUGGCCCAGAUUAAAGGUGUGUACCACCACACCUGGAUCUGGGACUUGCUUUGUCCCAGAUGACCUUGAGCUCAGAGAUCUCCUUGCCUUAGUCUCCUGGGAUUCAUAGCCACUAUGCCUCAAGAUCUCCAGGCCAAGAUCCAGGUCAGAAACUUCUCUCUCUCAGUCUCAAGAUCUGGAUCACAGAGCCGAACAUUACCCCACUUUGGAGAGUUCGGUGCAUGCUGAUGACGAGUGGAUGUAUCACAAAUACACACCAGGGUAUGAAAAGACUUCUGUUGGAAGCUACCAAGUGUCACUGUAAGAAGAGGCACCAUCUUAUCCUGGUUGUUAUACUAAUUCUCUACAGGUUCUGUGACAAAGUCUGAUAGACUGCUGACUUCAGACAACAGGAUACAUCUUCUUGCAGCUCAAGAGGCUGAUUUACUCCAAGGAUUUCUCAUGCCCUUUGGAGUCCUAUCCUGUCCCUAAUUAGUCUAGUAGAAACUCUGAAAUCCCACCUUUGUCUCAAUAUCUUAAAACAGAACUCCCACAAAGGAAGACAUAUCCCAAAUCAAUAUCAUAGAACAGACAUGCCUUGCUAGAAGUCCUCUGUCACCCUUGAGACCUUUCACCCUCAAACCUGGUGUUCUGAGGCAAAGAUCGUGCUCUGACUCUCAGCAUCUGUUACUGACUUCAACUUCGCUGUGGAAGACUCCCUCCAAUGGUUUAGUUGAGUACAAGACUAACCAGCUAAAGACAGGAUAUAAUAAUGUGUAAUAUAACAUACAUUCAUAUGUAAUAAAAAUUAUUCCUGUUUGCUUG
ensembl:lincRNA D930032P07Rik RIKEN cDNA D930032P07 gene